GCAAGUCGAGGGGUAACGGGGUGCUUGCACCGCCGACGACCGGCGCACGGGUGCGUAACGCGUAUACAAUCUACCUUUUACAGGAGGAUAGCCUUUAGAAAUGAAGAUUAAUACUCCAUGGUAUUAUUGAUUGGCAUCAAUUAAUAAUUAAAGCUUCGGUGGUAAAAGAUGAGUAUGCGUUCUAUUAGCUAGAUGGUGUGGUAACGGCACACCAUGGCAACGAUAGAUAGGGGCCCUGAGAGGGGGAUC
rnacentral:rRNA from 1 species